UCAUGACGUAGAAUCUGUACUAUUAUGCAGGCUGUUGAGGAACGAUCGUUGACUGCUCAUCGGAUUUCAGAAGACAAUCUUGUUUCAGGUACUCCAAGUGUGAUAUGCCCUACAACCCUGAUGCUUAUAUGGUGAAAUGUGAUGUGGUGUCAAUUCUGGGUCACGGGUUGUUUUUUUGUUCAUCAGAAUCAGACGCGGGAGAUAUUAGCAACAAAACAAGCCACGGGAGAAGCAUCUCAUGGUUGGAAAUCUGGAAUUCAGCAUUAAUCGAAGCCCAGGGACCAAUUAAGAAAAACAGGGUCCUCGGUCUUCCUCGAAUCCCAGCAAAUUCAGUUAUCCGGGCCUUCAAAGAUAGGAAGCAACGCCAGAGCUAGAGGAACCGUAGGUCUCAGCCUAGCAGCAGCAGAAGUUGGUGGUGGCCUGAGCUGGGGUGGUCUGCGGUUGGUAUGGUUAUUUCACAGAAGGUCCGUUCUAUGGCGAAGAAAUGGUUUUUUAGCAAUCAUUUUGAUUUGCAAAGCACAGAGAUCAUCCAAGGAAAGUGUGGUUCAAACUUUACACAAAUGAAUCACAAUGGUUACAACGACGUAUUUUCUAAGCUUUAGUUGAAUAACAAGUACAUAAUGAAUCUGGAAGAUUAUUAAUGAGUUGUGGUUAUCUUUACUUUUUUAAUGAUAAAUUUCUAAAUCUUGGUGGUUUAAUCAUGAAAAAUGUAUUGAUAACGAAAAGUGUUGAUUAUCUGUUUUCUUUUA